UACAGAGGUGGCAAGCGUUGUUCGGAAUUACUGGGCGUAAAGGGCGCGUAGGCGGUUCGUUAAGUCCUGUGUGAAAUCCCCCGGCUCAACUGGGGAACUGCACAGGAAACUAGCGGGCUUGAGUUCGGGAGAGGGAAGCGGAAUUCCUGGUGUAGCGGUGGAAUGCGCAGAUAUCAGGAGGAACACCAAUAGCGAAGGCAGCUCGCUGGGACGGUACUGACGCUAAGGCGCGAAAGCGUGGGGAGCGAACAGG
rnacentral:rRNA from 1 species